rnacentral:lncRNA from 1 species
UCAGAUAAAUAUAAACACAUAUGAUUUUUAUACAUAGAUAAUAAAAAUCAGUGAAAAGGGAGAUAGACAUAUCCAAGAUGAUCGUACAAAUCUUGACAUUGACAUAUUACCAGCCGAAAGAGCAACCAUAGACCUCGAAAACUUGACAUUUUAAUGCAAAGAAGCUAACUGGAAAAUUUAAAUCCUGCAGAAGAUGACACUUACCAAAGAUAAGAAGGUUGAACACACCUAAAGACUCCAAAACAAUUUAGGCUUCAAAAUUGGAGUAAUAUUUAAGAAAAUGGCUAACCAAACCAAAAGCAAGGAUUGAUUUAGAUGAAAUCCAAGCAUCUCAUUGUGUCCUAGGUGGAGUGUCACCUGAAAAUUCUAAAAAAGAGCUAAACUCGGGACAAUUCAAAGAGACAAGAUAGUCUAGGAAAGUUCACAACAACUGAAUUCACAUAUUUUAACAGAUGUAAGAUUACUGAGAUUAUGAAUUUUUUUUGUUGCUCAAUGAUGCAUUGUUCUCACUCUUUCUGUGAUCUUUUAUCCUCCUCCAAUUCCAUGGCAAGCUUCUCUCGCUCUAAUUCAUACUGAUGAAUGAAGAAUAAGCAGUCAUGAGCUACGUCAAUGCAAGAUAAGAUCAAUAUUCUACUCUUAACAAAAACAAACAAAUAGUAAUAAUAAUUACCGUCAGUAGGUCAUUUCUAAGUUUCAGUAAAUCUUUGCUCAAGCACCUCGGAAUGUGAUCCCUAUGUAAGAGUUUUCAUCCCAUAUUAGAUAUUCUUUGUGCAACUUUUGAAUAUGAAUCUUGAGAUCGAGACAAGACAAUCACCUGAAGUUUCAUGCGUAGUACCUCCAUUUCCCUUUUGGCUGCUUUAAUAAGGCUGCAUCAUUUUAGUAUCUACAAAGAAGUUUGAACUACAAUAGGCUCUGCCUUAGACGUCAAAAGAAAGAAGCUAGUAAUUAAUAAGAAGUUCCAUUAUUUGGUUCCACUGGGAAGAAAAUCUGCAAGAAAGGAUUCUACAAGGAUGAAACUUGUGAUUUGUAAGAUAAUAAAAAUUAAAACCACUUAAAGAAUGCUCUAUACUGCUUGAAGGUAAAACUCGCCUCCUUUUUGCUUUAAAAAUUGGUGCUCGAAUAGAUGUUUUAGACUACACUCUAUAGUAUCUAUAUACCAGAACAAAAUUAAUUGUUGCAUCAUUUAGGAGUUUUCAGAAAAACAAAUCUUUUUGGAUGAGAUUUGUUAAACCUUGGUUAUGACAGAAAAAAAUGUAGUGCCUAAGUGCUGAAAUUGCAUUGUAGCUUGAUUUGAAAGUUUUGAAUGGAAGAUAUAGUGUCUUACGAACUAAUGUUAAACUAACCUAAUUAUAGUCACAGGAACACUUCUAUUCACAACAACAUACGUGACCAUUAAAUCUCAUUAGGUGUUCUCUAAAGUGGAUCACGAACAAGUAAUUACAUAAAAAGAAUAGUAAAUGGAGGCAGACCUCAUUAACUUGAACACAAUUGGUGAUCCGUUUAACUCUGCUAGCAGAUUGGAGUAUUCCCUUCAAUACAACACAUAACCAUUAUAAUUUGUGUAUCAGUGUAAAAUUUCAAACAAAAUGAGAAUCAACUUGUGUUGAUUUGCGCUGCUUCAAAUCUUAAUUGUUAAAUGAAACUAACGCAGUCUUUUUGAAGAAAAAAAAGGGACAUACGAUGUAUGUAAUCUAGAAACGCAACUCAAUUGAAGAGAUAAAAAUAUAGAAUAGUGCCACAGAUUUAGAGAAAUAAAGAAAUAGCUAAGAGAAAAAUGAAACUGAAAAGGAGAACUAAAAUGACUCGCAAUAAAAAAUAAAGCAACUGUCCGCCGGCAAUUAACCCUUCUCUUUUUAUUUUUUCAAUGUAUUUUUCAAAUCAAAGUUUCAGCAGUUACUUUCAUUGAUAGACAAAAAAUGUCGAGCAAAGACCUGGCAACAACCAUGAAAUAAGAGGGUCUGAAGAGACUCCGAAAAAGCAAGAGAAAAUACGUACAAAGAAAUCUUGUUUCACUGUUGAUAGAAUAACCUAACUGUUGCUUCUAGAAUUUGACCAGAGUGAGUAAACGACAGAGCUAGUAUAAUAUAAUUGAGCUAAAUGACUGAUAGAACUAAUGUCAAUGCUUCUGUAGAUUUUUUCCCAACUCUUCAAACUCCACAUCUCCUAUAGCUAUGAUAAGGAAGAGACAUCUUAUAUUAAUAUCAUGUCUUUUUUGUACUACUAUAUGAGCAAGCAAAUAGAACUGAUGUCAAUUCUCUAUAGUAUUUUUCUAGAUUUUUCCCCAACUCCUCACCCCCUGCCCCUCCUUUUCUAUAGUUAUGAUUUAAAAAAAAUUACAAUGCAAAUCUUCAAAUGCUCGCAGUCCACCACAAUUGAAAAUUAUCUUCCCAAAUUAAGACGGCAGAGGCAACAAUUGAUUUUAUUAUUUAUUUGAAAGAACAUGAAGCCAUAUGUAAAUUAUUGUUUUUUUCAUUUUCAUAUGCUCUUUGCCAGAAAUCAUUCGCAAGGCAGCUAAUAUCAAACAAUAUAGAUUACAAUCACACAAAUCAGUAUUUUUCAAAAUUGAAGAAAAAAAGAGUGAGAGAAGAGAAAGGGAGAGGAACUUACCGGUACAAGAGAACAGAGGAGUGAGGAGUGAACUCGGUUGGUGCCUAUUUAUUUGUGUCAAACACCUAGUAAUUCUAGAAAAAUCACGUAAGUUGUGGUUUCUAGAAAAUCAGGUGAUUUGUGGAGGAAAUAUACCACAAAGUUGAUGGAAUUUUAAAAAUAAAAUAGAUAUGAAAUACCAAAAUUUGCCCUUAAUGUACUGUUCAUCCUUUUAGCAGAAUUAGACAUUUCUCUGCAUAAUUUAAAUCGCAAUACAUACAUCCAAAUAAACAUCAAACCCUAGAUUAUCACUGACAUUAAACUAUGUUCUUAAUGGAGCAUCACAAGACUCCUCCUUUAAAUAAAACAACAAAAUAAAACCCAUAAUAUAUGCUGAAAAAUCGCUGAUUAUAACAAUAUCUCGAAAUAUAACCCGAAGAUCUUAAAUUUCUCAUAACAGAGAAUCAGGAAGCACAUAUAUUUGUAUUGAUAGAAACAAUCGAAAAGGAAAAAAAGUAUACACCUUCUUACUUGAAACCCUUUGCAGUUGAUUAUAUGUGUGACUUGCUCAAAAGCACCUUUCUUGAAAUCUAAAAUUGAGAUAGAUUAAUUAUUAUGAGGAGCUUUGAUAACCAAAAUUGAAUAUUUUGAAGAGAUAGAAGAACCAGAGAGUUUAGGAGGAAGAAUAGGAUCCCAAGAGAAAUGAGAUUCCAGAAAGUACGGCUAACAAGA